rnacentral:rRNA from 1 species
CUACGGGGGGCUCCAGUGGGGAAUAUUGCACAAUGGACGAAAGUCUGAUGCAGCAACGCCGCGUGGAGGAUGACACAUUUCGGUGCGUAAACUCCUUUUAUAUAGGAAGAUAAUGACGGUACUAUAUGAAUAAGCACCGGCUAACUCCGUGCCAGCAGCCGCGGUAAUACGGAGGGUGCAAGCGUUACUCGGAAUCACUGGGCGUAAAGAGCGUGUAGGCGGGUUAAUAAGUUGGAAGUGAAAUCCUAUGGCUCAACCAUAGAACUGCUUCCAAAACUGUUAACCUAGAAUAUGGGAGAGGUAGAUGGAAUUUCUGGUGUAGGGGUAAGAUCCGUAGAGAUCAGAAGGAAUACCGAUUGCGAAGGCGAUCUACUGGAACAUUAUUGACGCUGAGACGCGAAAGCGUGGGGAGCAAACAGGAUUAGAUACCCCAGUAGUC